GCCCGGGGUCCGCAUGCGUCUGCGCAGCUGCGAGGUUAAGCCGCCCUUUGGCGGUCCCCAGGACAGUUCCUGGUGCCAGACGGUCCCAGAUCUGCAAUCAGAACUAUUGAACUUCUCCAUCUGGACCACCACUCACACCUAUAGGAAAAGGUAAAAAGACAGGAAUGUCAGGCCU